CGGGUACCACAUACACGGAAGGCAGCAGGCGCGCAAAUUUCCCACUCCCAGCUCGGGGAGGUAGUGACGAAAAAUAACGAUACGGGACUCAUUCGAGGCUCCGUAAUCGGAAUGAGUACACUUUAAAUCCUUUAACGAGGAUCCAUUGGAGAGCAAGUCUGGUGCCAGCAGUCGCGGUAAUUCCAGCUCCAAUAGCGUAUAUUAAAGUUGUUGCGGUUAAAAAGCUCGUAGUUGAAUCUGUGUGCCACGCUGUCGGUUCACCGCUCGCGGUGUUAAACUGAUAUGCUGUGGUACGUCCUACCGGUGGGCUUAGCUCUUCCCCCUCGGGGUGUUUGAGCGGUCCAAUUUAAUUCCAUCGCGGUGCUCUUCACCGAGUGUCGAGGUGGACCGGUACGUUUACUUUGAACAAAUUAGAGUGCUCAAAGCAGGCUAUUUUUGCCUGAAUACUGUGUGCAUGGGAUAAUGGAAUAGGACCUCGGUUCUAUUUUGUUGGUUUUCGGAACACCGAGGUAAUGAUUAAUAGGGACAGAUGGGGGCAUUCAUAUUGCCACGUUAGAGGAGAAAUUCUUGGAUCGUC
rnacentral:rRNA from 1 species